GAUGAACGCUAGCGGCAGGCUUAACACAUGCAAGUCGAGGGGUAUAGUUCUUCGGAACUAGAGACCGGCGCACGGGUGCGUAACGCGUAUGCAAUCUACCUUUUACAGGGGGAUAGCCCAGAGAAAUUUGGAUUAAUACCCCAUAGUAUGUUAGAGUGGCAUCAUUUUAACAUUAAAGUUCCAACGGUAAAAGAUGAGCAUGCGUCCCAUUAGCUAGAUGGUAAGGUAACGGCUUACCAUGGCGACGAUGGGUAGGGGUCCUGAGAGGGAGAUCCCCCACACUGGUACUGAGACACGGACCAGACUCCUACGGGAGGCAGCAGUGAGGAAUAUUGGACAAUGGGCGCAAGCCUGAUCCAGCCAUGCCGCGUGCAGGAAGACGGUCCUAUGGAUUGUAAACUGCUUUUGUACAGGAAGAAACACUCCCUCGUGAGGGAGCUUGACGGUACUGUAAGAAUAAGGAUCGGCUAACUCCGUGCCAGCAGCCGCGGUAACAC
rnacentral:rRNA from 1 species